AGGUCUAAAAUAUUGAGCUCAACAGCUAUUUUAAGAGCCAACCCUCACAAACCUUCCUAAAAACUAAAAGAGCUAUUACUGAGUCUCAGCGAAUCUUGUCAUGAUCAGCUCUUCCCAGAAGAGAAGGAAGACCAAGGAAAUUAUUUGCUCAGGAUGAGAAAUGAAGAUGGCCAUCUUGUGCUCAAACAAACAGAAGUCCUCUGAUGAUCUCAUUAGCCAAAUGAGGGGUUUUGACCAAGUGAUGCUCUUGAAAGGAGUGAAAGAAGAGGAUGUGGUAAAUUGUCUUCAGAGAAAAAGCUUCUCAAAAGGUCUCAAAACAGCUUGAAGAAUGGUAAGUGUACAGUACUACAAGGGUAAAAUCACACAGAACAUAAGAUGAGCUCUCUGUC